rnacentral:sRNA from 1 species
UCCAACUCCCCUCCUCCCCCAGCACAAGGCAAAGGGCACCCCUUGCUGUGAGUUUGGGGGCACCGGCUGUCGGGGGCCGACCCAGAACUUUGCGGGGUCCCCUGAGGGACCCGUGGCGGGACCGGCCCCGGGUUCGUCAAAUUCCGCCGAUGCUUUCAGGAGGCUGAUUAAACAAAGGACAAGAUUGGAGUGGGAAAUGAGAGGCUCUUAAAAGUGGAAGCUUUUUGUUUGUCCAUUUACAAGAAAUUGGACAAUGAAUCACUUCAGGAAGAUGGAGGUCAUCAACCUCACCACCCUACCUGUGAUACCAGUGGAUGAGCACCUGGCUGUCUCGCUUGUCGCACGGAAUACAAUGGUGAAGACUGUGAGGAAGGAGUUAGAGAACAGUCCACCCUCAUGCCUUAUUGGCUCCAUGCACCAGGUGAACCAAAAGAUUGCUGACAUAAAUCUGCGUACCGAGCCGUCGGCCAACAGCCUGGCAUUUGAGAGUUUUGAGUUGGAGAAGAAGGCUUUAAGAGAGAAAACUCGCAGCAGUCCAGAAGACAAAGGCAAAAACCUUUCCCUUAGCCUUGAUGCUCUUUUCAUGGGUCAAGAGACAAAGGAAAUCUCAGUAUUCCUGCAAAGGCUCCGAACUCAGAC